AUUGAACGCUGGCGGCAGGCUUAACACAUGCAAGUCGAGCGGGGUGAUGGUGCUUGCACUAUCACUUAGCGGCGGACGGGUGAGUAAUGCUUAGGAAUCUGCCUAUUAGUGGGGGACAACAUCUCGAAAGGGAUGCUAAUACCGCAUACGUCCUACGGGAGAAAGCAGGGGAUCACUUGUGACCUUGCGCUAAUAGAUCAGCCUAAGCCGGAUUAGCUAGUUGGUGGGGUAAAGGCCUACCAAGGCGACGAUCUGUAGCGGGUCUGAGAGGAUGAUCCGCCACACUGGGACUGAGACACGGCCCAGACUCCUACGGGAGGCAGCAGUGGGGAAUAUUGGACAAUGGGGGGAACCCUGAUCCAGCCAUGCCGCGUGUGUGAAGAAGGCCUUAUGGUUGUAAAGCACUUUAAGCGAGGAGGAGGCUCUUUUGGUGAAUACCCAAGAUGAGUGGACGUUACUCGCAGAAUAAGCACCGGCUAACUCUGUGCCAGCAGCCGCAGUAA
rnacentral:rRNA from 1 species